AUUGAACGCUGGCGGCAUGCUUUACACAUGCAAGUCGAACGGUAACAGGCCUUCGGGUGCUGACGAGUGGCGAACGGGUGAGUAAUGCAUCGGAACGUGCCCAGGGGUGGGGGAUAACGCAGCGAAAGCUGUGCUAAUACCGCAUGUGAUCUGAGGAUGAAAGCGGGGGACCAGGCAGCAAUGUUUGGCCUCGCGCCUUUGGAGCGGCCGAUGUCGGAUUAGGUAGUUGGUGGGGUAAAGGCCUACCAAGCCGACGAUCUGUAGCUGGUCUGAGAGGACGACCGGCCACACUGGGACUGAGACACGGCCCAGACGCCUACGGGAGGCAGCAGUGGGGAAUGUUGGACAAUGGGCGCGAGCCUGAUCCAGCAAUGCCGCGUGCGGGAAGAAGGCCUUCGGGUUGUGAACCGCUUUUGUACGGAACGAAAAGGCUCUGGCUAAUACCUGGGGCUGAUGACGGUACCGUAAGAAUAAGCACCGGCUAACUACGUG
rnacentral:rRNA from 1 species